UACGGAGGGGGCUAGCGUUGUUCGGAAUUACUGGGCGUAAAGCGCGCGUAGGCGGACCUGCAAGUCGGGGGUGAAAGCCCGAGGCUCAACCUCGGAACUGCCUUCGAUACUGCGGGUCUCGAGUCCGGGAGAGGUGAGUGGAAUUCCUAGUGUAGAGGUGAAAUUCGUAGAUAUUCGCAAGAACACCAGUGGCGAAGGCGGCUCGCUGGACAAGUAUUGACGCUGAGGUGCGAAAGCGUGGGGAGCAAACAGG
rnacentral:rRNA from 1 species